rnacentral:rRNA from 1 species
CAGUCGCCGCGGUAAUACGGAGGGAGCUAGCGUUGUUCGGAAUUACUGGGCGUAAAGCGCGCGUAGGCGGUUACUCAAGUCAGAGGUGAAAGCCCGGGGCUCAACCCCGGAACUGCCUUUGAAACUAGGUAACUAGAAUCUUGGAGAGGUCAGUGGAAUUCCGAGUGUAGAGGUGAAAUUCGUAGAUAUUCGGAAGAACACCAGUGGCGAAGGCGACUGACUGGACAAGUAUUGACGCUGAGGUGCGAAAGCGUGGGGAGCAAACAGGAUUAGAUACCCCUGUAGUCCCUGUCUCUUAUAC